AUGGAUCGGAUGGCCUUAAAAUUCGCAACUAAACGAGAUACAAAUAGUCUGAAGGUCGAACGAAGCGACCUAUCGCAGCAAGAACAAGGACAGCAAUUAGCAAGGAGAGGAAAGCGGAAACAAGUCGGAACUGAGGGAAAAAAAUUGCCUGGCUUUCCCGCAUGCCAAUACAGAACUCUCCACCAUUUUUCUGAGCUAAGCUUGCACGGAUGCCUCCAUGCCUUUGCCCUGCGGAAGAACCGAGACGACGACAGAGACGAAGACGAAGACCGGGACGAAGAGGUCACCGGAGCGGCGUCCGCGGCAUACGGAGCGACCAGCCAUGGUGGAGAGGGGAUGGCGGGGGCUUGA
rnacentral:rRNA from 1 species